UUCCAUCCAGGAUAGUCCUGGAAAUGAUCUUGAUGCUAUCUGUUCCUCGUUACAGCAGACCUGCUCAACUUCAGCAGCUAGAAGGAGGAUUGUCUUUCACCAGCUGCAGGAGCCUGUUCCCACUACAAGCCUGGUGGAGUCUUCGGAGCAGAUGUGACUGUCCUACUUGUAUAGAGAAGAGAAACUGAGGCUCAGAAGAGAUGCCUGGCUGAGUUUAAUAGGACUGCAACAACAAUUUUGCCUUUCUACUUUCUGGUACAGUGGUCUUUCCUUUGCCAUCAUGCCUCAGCAUAUCCAUACCGUUUGCAAAGAAAUUUCCUAAACAUCACCACUGAGGCUCCUUCCAGCAAUGACUCUGGUCCAUCAUUGGGAUUGCUGAGCAGCUGUUUCAUAACAUGAACAAGGAUGUUUUAACCAUGUUUCUUGACCUGGCCAUUUGGAUCCCAAGGAUGUUUUGGUCCAAGAAUAAAUUCCAGAGCUUAGCUCACCGAAGAAGACAGGAAAACUUGUCAGAUGGGGAAGGAUGUGUCAAGAGCAUGCACACAGAUUUACUCUUCAGCU
rnacentral:lncRNA from 10 species